GACAUAGGUGGCGAACGUUAUCCGGAAUUAUUGGGCGUAAAGGAUGCGUAGAUGGCAGGGUAAGUUACUGGUUGAUGUCAAACUCAAUUUGACGGAAGCUGGUAAUACUGUUUUGCUAGAGGGCGGGAGAGGUUGAUGGAAUUCUGUGUGGAGCGGUGAAAUGCGUUGAUCUACAGAGGAAAACCAUAAAAGGCGAAGGCAGUCAACUAUCCUGUUCCUGACAUUGAGGCAUGAAAGCGUGGGGAGCGAACCGG
rnacentral:rRNA from 1 species